rnacentral:rRNA from 1 species
CGGUUCUAGCGUCCUGUAAGUCGAGCGGAUGAAGGGAGCUUGCUCCUGGAUUCAGCGGCGGACGGGUGAGUAAUGCCUAGGAAUCUGCCUGGUAGUGGGGGAUAACGUCCGGAAACGGGCGCUAAUACCGCAUACGUCCUGAGGGAGAAAGUGGGGGAUCUUCGGACCUCACGCUAUCAGAUGAGCCUAGGUCGGAUUAGCUAGUUGGUGGGGUAAAGGCCUACCAAGGCGACGAUCCGUAACUGGUCUGAGAGGAUGAUCAGUCACACUGGAACUGAGACACGGUCCAGACUCCUACGGGAGGCAGCAGUGGGGAAUAUUGGACAAUGGGCGAAAGCCUGAUCCAGCCAUGCCGCGUGUGUGAAGAAGGUCUUCGGAUUGUAAAGCACUUUAAGUUGGGAGGAAGGGCAGUAAGUUAAUACCUUGCUGUUUUGACGUUACCAACAGAAUAAGCACCGGCUAACUUCGUGCCAGCAGCCGCGGUAAUACGAAGGGUGCAAGCGUUAAUCGGAAUUACUGGGCGUAAAGCGCGCGUAGGUGGUUCAGCAAGUUGGAUGUGAAAUCCCCGGGCUCAACCUGGGAACUGCAUCCAAAACUACUGAGCUAGAGUACGGUAGAGGGUGGGUGGGAAUUUCCUGUGUAGCGGUGAAAUGCGUAGAUAUAGGAAGGAACACCAGUGGCGAAAGCGACCACCUGGACUGAUACUGACACUGAGGUGCGAAAGCGUGGGGAGCAAACAGGAUUAGAUACCCUGGUAGUCCACGCCGUAAACGAUGUCGACUAGCCGUUGGGAUCCUUGAGAUCUUAGUGGCGCAGCUAACGCGAUAGUCGACCGCCUGGGGGAGUACGGCCGCACGGUUAAAACUCAAUGGAAUUGACGGGGGCCCGCACAAGCAGUGGAGCAUGUGGUUAAUUCGAAGCAACGCGAAGACCUUACCUGCCCUUGACAUGCUGAGACUUUCCAGAGAUGAAUUGGUGCCUGUCGGUACUCAGGACACAGUGCUGCAUGCUGUCGUCAGCUCGUGUCGUGAGAUGUGGGUUAGUCCGUAACCGAGCGCACCAUGGUCUUAACUUACCAGCACCUCGGGGUGGGCACCUCUAGCAACUGGCGAUGAACAAACCCGGCAGGAGAAG